rnacentral:rRNA from 1 species
AGAGUUUGAUCAUGGCUCAGGAUGAACGCUAGCGGGAGGCCUAACACAUGCAAGCCGAGCGGUAGAGUAUUCUUCGGAAUCUUGAGAGCGGCGUACGGGUGCGGAACACGUGUGCUAACCUACCUUUAUCUGGAGGAUAGCCUUUCGAAAGGAAGAUUAAUACUCCAUAAUAUAUUGAUUGGCAUCAAUUGAUAUUGAAAGCUCCGGCGGAUAGAGAUGGGCACGCGCAAGAUUAGUUAGUUGGUGAGGUAACGGCUCACCAAGACGAUGAUCUUUAGGGGCCUGAGAGGGUGAUCCCCCACACUGGUACUGAGACACGGACCAGACUCCUACGGGAGGCAGCAGUGAGGAAUAUUGGUCAAUGGGUGCAAGCCUGAACCAGCCAUCCCGCGUGAAGGACGACUGCCCUAUGGGUUGUAAACUUCUUUUGUAUAGGGAUAAACCUACCCUCGUGAGGGUAGCUGAAGGUACUAUACGAAUAAGCACCGGCUAACUCCGUG